UCGAUUCUUCUUUUUUAAAUGUUAAAUUUUUUUCUAACAAACAAAAAAGAAUAAUGAUCCUAUGGAACACUGCCGCACCUUGUAGCAUAGGACCCUUAACGCUCACAGUCAGAUCUACAUCUCAAUCUUGAUCAGAAAUGGUUUCACCGGCUAACCCCUUCCUAAAACCGGCCAUGGCGGGUCAUUUGUGUCUCAAAACCUCCCUUUCUCUUGCUGCUCUUAGUCCUCGCCCCUUUUUCUCUCCCUCUCCCUAGCCCACUGGUUUCCUCGCUCUCUCCCAUCUUGCUCAGUCUUUAGAAUUUCCUUCUGUCCAAGCGGCCCCGAGAUAAUUUUGGAGGACAAAAAGAGACGAUGCUGCGAAAAACACCUGUUUCUCUCUCACAAGGUCACAAGGUCACAAGGUCACAGAGAAAGGCUAAAGAACAAAAAACAGGUAAGUUCUGAGGUCAACAAAGAAGAGUCUUAGAGGUAAAUACUCAAUAUACACCUGGCUAAAGAAGAUUUUAAGUACUACUAGUGUCAUCAAGAGAGAGAACUACAAGAAAAUAUGCACUGGCUCAAUAUGGUUUAGAAGACUAUUGUAGAAUAUUUGGAUAUUUUGUUGUCAAGUUUCACUCGAUCGGUGGAUGAGAAAGCAAUUGGGCAUUGUUUUAGCGCAAGUUGCAGCUUUGGAGGAGAAGAUUGAAGCCAUUUUAACUGACUUCGAGCUCAUAUUCUCAUUGUCAUCUUUCUUUUCUUUGCUUGUAUUGUGUGUUGUGAAUAACUGUUGUAUGUCCUAUACAACUUCCAAAUAUUAAUGAAAUGGGAAUGUUUUG